rfam:Myotis davidii contig139686, whole genome shotgun sequence.
GUUGGUGUGGCUCAGUGGUUGAGCAUUGACCCAUGAACCAAGCGGUCCCAGGUUCGAUUCCUGGCCACAGCA